rnacentral:misc_RNA from 1 species
AAAACAGAGACGACAAAGAUGCUUAUGAGAUAUCUGGCUUUCAUGGGUGGUCGGUCAGGUACAGAGGGAAGAACAGUCGAGCAGCAAGUUUUGGAGUCUAAUCCAGUACUGGAAGCAUUUGGAAAUUCCAAGACAGUCAAGAACAAUAAUUCUAGUCGUUUCGGUAAAUUCGUUGAGAUCCAGUUCGAUAAGCACGGGAAGAUUUCUGGAGCUGCAGUCAGGACAUAUCUUCUUGAGCGAUCCCGUGUAUGUCAGGUGUCUGACCCUGAGAGGAACUACCAUUGUUUCUACAUGCUCUGUUCUGCGCCACCAGAG